UACGGAGGAUCCAAGCGUUAUCCGGAAUUAUUGGGUUUAAAGGGUCCGUAGGUGGUUAUUUAAGUCAGAGGUGAAAUCCUGCCGCUUAACGGUAGAACUGCCUUUGAUACUGAUUAACUUGAGUUAUUGUGAAGUAGUUAGAAUAUGUAGUGUAGCGGUGAAAUGCAUAGAUAUUACAUAGAAUACCGAUUGCGAAGGCAGAUUACUAACAAUGUACUGACGCUCAUGGACGAAAGCGUGGGGAGCGAACAGG
rnacentral:rRNA from 1 species